UUUAUAUUAAACAUCCAUUUGCAAUCUAUAAUAUUUUUGUUAUCUGGCCGUGGUACUAAAGUCCAUGUUUUAUUUAAAAAUAGAGAAUUUAAUUGCACCUUCCCAAUGAACUCUAUCGUCUCGUGUUUUAAUCUCUUGAAACGAAUUUGGUAUUUUACACAAAAUUGAACUAGCACACAUAAGGUUAUCAUCGAUAUCUUUAUAAGAAAUAGGGGGACGACUUUAAGCCUAUCACUCCUACGUGGUUCAAUACAACUGGUUGUGUCCUCAUUAUUUACGACCACUGAAAGAUCAUCAGAAUGUGCAUUUGGUUGUUCAAAUUCGACGAUGUCAUGGUUAGUUUUGCGAAUUUUCUGAGGAACUUCAUAAUCAUCAGAUUUACAGGUAUCUGAUUUAUAUCUGUCAGUUUUUUGAGACUUUAUUGACUUUGAAAUGUUGUCAAUGUUAACAUUAUCAUGAGAAUUUACUAUAUUCUCUUCAGGUCGCAACGCAGGCCUGGAUUGAAGUAAUUUGUCUCAUCUACUAUGACAUCUCUGACAGUAAUAAAUUUUUCGCAUUUAGGAUUCCAAACUUUAUAACCGUUUGGUUCGUAUCCCACAAGAAUACCUUUCCAUGACUUAACAUCGAAUUUUGUCUUAUAUAACUUAUCAUGCACAUAAACUGUUGAACCAAAAAAAUUAAAAUAUUUUAUUUGUGGUUUUUUGUUAUGCCACAUUUACGAAUUCAAUCAUCAUGUGACGUAAUUGGUGAAUAAUAUCGUAAUUGAAAAGGAUAUUUCUCUUUAAAUGUACAAGCUGUGUGUGAUGCAGAAAUAAAAUAUAUUAAUGUUGUUCCCCAUGGCCUGGUGCCGCUCAUGAUGCAACAACUUUUGUAAACUCAGUUCUACAAGUUAAUUCAAAUUUAUUGAUAAGAAGGUAGAACUUGAUAAAUGUGCCAACUAAAUUAACAGGUAUAUUUGUUUAUAGCUUAAUAUCGUACAGGUCUACUGAGAAAUCACUGGAUGGUUGUUAAUAGUGCUUACUCAAAUAUACCUUAUUCAUUAACACCAUUUCUCUGACUGACCAGAGAUAUGAUGAAGUACACAUUAAGAAUAGGAAUACUAUAGAGAGAUAUACCGGCAGAAGUUUUAGUUCCAACACUUGAUACAGUUUCAAGUCAAGAAGUUAAUGAAGGAAAUCAAGAUGUAACUGAAAGAACAAGCUUUAUUUAUUAUUUUGGAAAAUUAAUAUAUUCUUCUUAAUUCUAGCAGAAACAAACAUGUUGUAUUUAAAUGUCCUUUUGUACAUAUAA